rnacentral:tRNA from 1 species
GGUCUAAUCGGCGAAGGCGUCGCCCCGGAUAGGCGAAGGUUGCGGGUUCGAACCCCGC